rnacentral:rRNA from 1 species
UACAGAGGUCUCAAGCGUUGUUCGGAAUCACUGGGCGUAAAGGGUGCGUAGGUGGCGUGGUAAGUCAGAUGUGAAAGCCCAGGGCUCAACCCUGGAACUGCAUCCGAUACUGCCAUGCUAGAGAACUGAAGAGGAGUGUAGAAUUCUCGGUGUAGCAGUGAAAUGCGUAGAUAUCGAGAGGAAUACCAACGGCGAAGGCAGCACUCUGGGCAGUUUCUGACACUGAGGCACGAAGGCUAGGGGGGCAAACGGG